CUACCUAAUAAUAAAUAUCCUUCAAUCUUUUUGUUUCAUUUUUCUAAUASCACGACAAAGCUAUCCCAUUCAUCKGAAGCAAAUCUGAUCCAGAAUUAUGAAGGCAACAGCAAUUCUCAUUUGUAGCAUCCUUCUUGUCGCAACAGCAAUGGUGAGCCAAGCAGAUCCAGACCCUGCACCUGGAAUGGUUCCUGGAGGAACAUGUGGACGAGAAGACGAAGGCAAAAAGUUGAUCGAAGGCAGGCACGGAUGUGGUAGCUGCUUGUGCCAGGGUGGUCUAGUGUAUUGCUCUAAAUGCUAGUCAACAAAACUGUCUGUCUGUCCAGAAAAAGAUUGUUGGAAAAGACAGAUGAAAGACUGAUGAAAAAAAAAAACAAAUAAGACGAAGACUUAAUAUUAUUUUGGUUUUAAUUCUUAAGAAUCUAUCCCCUUGAUUGAUCAUGAUUGGUUAUUGUUUGAUUUUAAAAUAAUAAUAAACGUAAAGCAUA